rnacentral:rRNA from 1 species
GGUUGUCGUGAUGGGCGUACGGUGGAUGCCUUGGCA